rnacentral:rRNA from 1 species
UACGUAGGGUGCAAGCGUUAAUCGGAAUUACUGGGCGUAAAGCGUGCGCAGGCGGUUUGGUAAGACAGAUGUGAAAUCCCCGGGCUUAACCUGGGAAUUGUAUUUGUGACUGCCCGGCUAGAGUUUGGCAGAGGGGGGUAGAAUUCCACGUGUAGCAGUGAAAUGCGUAGAUAUGUGGAGGAAUACCGAUGGCGAAGGCAGCCCCCUGGGUCAAGACUGACGCUCAUGCACGAAAGCGUGGGGAGCAAACAGG